rnacentral:rRNA from 1 species
GCAGUCGAACGAGGUAGCAAUUCCUAGUGGCGGACGGGUGAGGAAUACGUAGGGAUCUGCCUUUAAGUGGGGGAUAACCCGGGGAAACCCGGAUUAAUACCGCAUGAUCUCGCAAGAGCAAAGAGGGGGACCGCAAGGCCUCUCGCUUUUAGAGGAACCUACGUCGGAUUAGCUAGUUGGUGAGGUAAUGGCUCACCAAGGCGACGAUCCGUAACUGGUCUGAGAGGAUGAUCAGUCACACCGGAACUGAGACACGGUCCGGACUCCUACGGGAGGCAGCAGUGGGGAAUAUUGGACAAUGGGCGAAAGCCUGAUCCAGUAAUACCGCGUGUGUGAAGAAGGCCUUCGGGUUGUAAAGCACUUUAAGUUGGGAAGAAAAAGCUUCACCUAAUACGUGGAGCCUUGACGGUACCGACAGAAUAAGCACCGGCUAACUCUGUGCCAGCAGCCGCGGUAAUACAGAGGGUGCUAGCGUUAAUCGGAUUUACUGGGCGUAAAGCGUGCGUAGGCGGUUUGAUAAGUCGAUUGUGAAAGCCCCGGGCUCAACCUGGGAAUUGCGGUCGAUACUGUCAGACUCGAAAACGGUAGAGGGAGGCGGAACUCCAGGUGUAGCGGUGAAAUGCGUAGAUAUCUGGAAGAACACCGAUGGCGAAGGCAACCUCCUGGGCCUGUUUUGACGCUGAGGCACGAAAGCGUGGGUAGCAAACAGGAUUAGAUACCCUGGUAGUCCACGCCGUA